rnacentral:rRNA from 1 species
UACGUAGGGGGCAAGCGUUAUCCGGAUUUACUGGGUGUAAAGGGAGCGUAGACGGUGAUGCAAGUCAGAAGUGAAAGCCCGGGGCUCAACUCCGGGACUGCUUUUGAAACUGUGUGACUGGAGUGCAGGAGAGGUAAGCGGAAUUCCUGGUGUAGCGGUGAAAUGCGUAGAGAUUAGGAAGAACACCAGUGGCGAAGGCGACUUACUGGACUGUAACUGACGCUGAGGCAUGAGAGCAUGGGGAGCAAACAGG